rnacentral:rRNA from 1 species
UACCAGCACCCCGAGUGGUCGGGACGAUUAUUGGGCCUAAAGCAUCCGUAGCCGGUCUUACAAGUCCUCCGUUAAAUCCAGCUGCUUAACAGAUGGGCUGCGGAGGAUACUAUAAGACUAGGAGGCAGGAGAGGCAAGCGGUACUCAGUGGGUAGGGGUAAAAUCCGUUGAUCCAUUGAAGACCACCAGUGGCGAAGGCGGCUUGCCAGAAUGCGCUCGACGGUGAGGGAUGAAAGCUGGGGGGGCAAACCGG